rnacentral:piRNA from 1 species
UAAGAAGCUGGUGAUGUGUCCAGAAUCUCU